rnacentral:tRNA from 2 species
GCUCUGGUAGUGUAGCGGCCUAUCAUGGAGCCCUGUCACGGCUCCGACCCGGGUUCAAAUCCCGGCCAGGGCG